UGGCUCAGUGAGGCGUCCGGACUGGCCCCGGGAGGUCGGCAACGACCACCCAGGGCCGGAAAGUUCGUCAAACUUGGUCAUUUAGAGGAAGUAAAAGUCGUAACAAGGUCUCCGUAGGUGAACCUGCGGAGGGAUCAUU
rnacentral:rRNA from 1 species